CAUAGUUUGGGUGGUCCUAAAGCUUACUGUUAUUUAUAAUCGAAAUUACACAUGCAAGCCUCAACAAACCAGUGAGAAUGCCCACACCCCCUUACACCAGACCCACGGAGCAGGUAUCAGGCCCAGUAUAAUACUCGCCCACAACACCUUGCAUCGCCACACCCACACGGGAACUCAGCAGUGAUUAAUAUUAAGCAAUAAGCGAAAGCUUGACUUAGCUACGAUUACACAAGACCGGUAAAUUUCGUGCCAGCCACCGCGGUUAUACGAAAGGCCCAAAAUAACAGCAUCGGCGUAAAAUGUGACUAGAACAGCACUUAAGUUAAGGCAAAACCACUGCUACGUAGUAAAAUACUCAAAGCAAGCAAGAACAACACCUGUAAACUCGUCCUUAAAAUAUUUGAUCGCACGAAAGCCGGGGAACAAACUGGGAUUACAAACUGGGAUUAGAUACCCCACUAUGCUCGGCCCUAAACUUAGAUAGAAAAUUACACACUAUCCGCCAGAGAACUACAAGCGAAAAGCUUAAAACUCCAAGGACUUGGCGGUGCCCCAUAUCAGCCUAGAGGAGCCUGUCCUAUAAUCGAUACCCCACGUUCUACCUCACCAUUUUUUGCCAAACAGUUUAUAUACCGCCGUCGUUCAGCCAACCCCAUGAGGGAAAUAAAAGUUAGCGGAAUGGUCCGACACCAACACGUCAGGUCAAGGUGUAACACAUAAAAUGGCAGAGAUGGGCUACACUCUCUUUAAAAGAAGAUACGAAUAGCGUAAUGAAACCAACACUUAAAGGCGGAUUUAGCAGUAAAAUUGGCCAGAAAACCAACCUUAAACAAGCCCUGGGGCGCACUGGAAAGUGUGCUUGGAAUA
rnacentral:ncRNA from 1 species